GUAGUCAUAUGCUUGUCUCAAAGAUUAAGCCAUGCAUGUCUCAGUACAAGCCAUAUUAAGGUGAAACCGAGAAAGGCUCAUUAAAUCAGUUAUGGUUCCUUAGAUCGUACACACAUUUACUUGGAUAACUGUGGUAAUUCUAGAGCUAAUACAUGCAAACAGAGCUCCGACCGGAGACGGAAGGAGUGCUUKUAUUAGAUCAAGACCAAUCGGCGGCAGUUUAGCUUCGGCUUUAUUGUUCGUCGCACUUUUUGGUGACUCUGAAUAACUUUUGGCUGAUCGCACGGUCUAGCACCGGCGACGCAUCUUUCAACUGUCUGCCUUAUCAACUGUCGAUGGUAGGUUCUGCGCCUACCAUGGUUGUAACGGGUAACGGGGAAUUAGGGUUCGAUGCCGGAGAGGGAGCCUGAGAAACGGCUACCACAUCCAAGGAAGGCAGCAGGCGCGCAAAUUACCCACUCCCGGCACGGGGAGGUAGUGACGAAAAAUAACGAUACGGGACUCAUCCGAGGCCCCGUAAUCGGAAUGAGUACACUUUAAAUCCUUUAACAAGGACCAAUUGGAGGGUAAGUCUGGUGCCAGCAGCCGCGGUAAUUCCAGCUCCAAUAGCGUAUA
rnacentral:rRNA from 1 species